rnacentral:rRNA from 1 species
AUUGAAUUUAACUUUUAAGUGAAAAGGCUUAAAUGAUCUAAAGGGACGAUAAGACCCUAUAAAACUUUAUAUUUUAAGGUAUAGAUUAUUUUUGUUUAUAGGUUGUUAUCUGAAAAUAUUUGGUUGGGGCGACAGGGAUAAAAUGAGAGGUAACUGUUUUUUUUUUAUUACAACAAUGUUUGAUUUAAUGAUCCUGAAAAGGAUUAAAAGAUUAAGUUACUUUAGGGAUAACAGCGUAAUUUUCUUUGAGAGUUCUUAUCGACAAGAAAGUUUGCAACCUCGAUGUUGAAUUAAAGGUUCUUUAUGGAGUAGAGACUAUAAAAGAAGGUCUGUUCGACCUUUAAAAUUUUACAUGAUUUGAGUUCAAACCGGUGUGAG